rnacentral:rRNA from 1 species
UACGUAGGGUGCAAGCGUUGUUCGGAAUCACUGGGCGUAAAGGGUGCGUAGGUGGCGUGGUAAGUCAGAUGUGAAAGCCCGGGGCUCAACCUCGGAAUUGCAUCCGAUACUACCAUGCUAGAGUACUGAAGAGGUGACUAGAAUUCUCGGUGUAGCAGUGAAAUGCGUAGAUAUCGAGAGGAAUACCAAAGGCGAAGGCAGGUCACUGGGCAGUUACUGACACUGAGGCACGAAGGCUAGGGGAGCAAACGGG